rnacentral:rRNA from 1 species
UACGGAAGGGGCAAGCGUUGUUCGGAAUCAUUGGGCGUAAAGCGCGUGUAGGCGGCCAGAAAAGUCCGCUGUGAAAACUCGAGGCUCAACUUCGAGCUGUCGGUGGAAACUUUCUGGCUAGAGUCCGGAAGAGGAGAAUGGAAUUCCUGGUGUAGCGGUGAAAUGCGCAGAUAUCAGGAAGAACACCCGUGGCGAAGGCGGUUCUCUGGGACGGUACUGACGCUGAGACGCGAAAGCGUGGGGAGCGAACAGG